CAAGUCGAACGCGAAAGUCCCCUUCGGGGGAUAAGUAGAGUGGCGCACGGGUGAGUAACACGUAGGUAAUCUACCUUCGGGUGGGGAAUAACCCAGGGAAACUUGGGCUAACACCGCAUAAUGCAGCGGCACCACAUGGUGACAGUUGUUAAAGCGGGGGAUUUUAGGACCUCGCGCCUGAAGAGGAGCCUGCGGCAGAUUAGCUUGUUGGUAAGGUAACGGCUUACCAAGGCGACGAUCUGUAGCCGGCCUGAGAGGGCGGUCGGCCACACUGACACUGACAUACGGGUCAGACUCCUACGGGAGGCAGCAGUCGGGAAUUUUGGGCAAUGGGCGAAAGCCUGACCCAGCAACGCCGCGUGAAGGAUGAAAUCCCUCGGGAUGUAAACUUCGCAAGAAUGGGAAGAAUUAGUAGGGGUUAAUACCCCCUAUGAUGACGGUACCAUUUGUAAGCUCCGGCUAACUCCGUGCCAGCAGCCGCGGUAAUACGGGGGGAGCAAGCGUUGUUCGGAUUUACUGGGCGUAAAGGGCGCGUAGGCGGCCAGCACAAGUCGGUUGUGAAAUCUCCGGGCUUAACUCGGAAAGGUCAACCGAUACUGUGCGGCUAGAGUGCGGAAGGGGCAACUGGAAUUCUCGGUGUAGCGGUGAAAUGCGUAGAUAUCGAGAGGAACACCUGCGGCGAAGGCGGGUUGCUGGGCCGACACUGACGCUGAUGCGCGAAAGCCAGGGGAGCGAACGGGAUUAGAUACCCCGGUAGUCCUGGCCUUAAACGAUGGAUGCUUGGUGUCUGGAGUUUUAUAGUCUCCGGG
rnacentral:rRNA from 1 species